rnacentral:rRNA from 1 species
CCUACGGGAGGCAGCAGUGGGGAAUCUUGCGCAAUGGGCGAAAGCCUGACGCAGCCAUGCCGCGUGAAUGAUGAAGGUCUUAGGAUUGUAAAAUUCUUUCACCGGGGACGAUAAUGACGGUACCCGGAGAAGAAGCCCCGGCUAACUUCGUGCCAGCAGCCGCGGUAAUACGAAGGGGGCUAGCGUUGCUCGGAAUUACUGGGCGUAAAGGGAGCGUAGGCGGAUAGUUUAGUCAGAGGUGAAAGCCCAGGGCUCAACCUUGGAAUUGCCUUUGAUACUGGCUAUCUUGAGUAUGGGAGAGGUAUGCGGAACUCCGAGUGUAGAGGUGAAAUUCGUAGAUAUUCGGAAGAACACCAGUGGCGAAGGCGGCAUACUGGCCCAUUACUGACGCUGAGGCUCGAAAGCGUGGGGAGCAAACAGGAUUAGAUACCCUGGUAGUCCACGCUAGUAACGAUGAGUGCUAGUUGUCGGCAUGCAUGCAUGUCGGUGGCGCAGCUACGCAUAAGCACCGCCGCCGUGGGGAGGUACGGUCGCGNGUGUAUUAAACUUACGUAAAGGUUAAGUUAGACGGCGNGAGACGNGCCGACGGCGACGACGAGGGGAGGAGG